UCGUAGGCGGUUUGUCGCGUCGUCUGUGAAAACCAGCAGCUCAACUGUUGGCUUGCAGGCGAUACGGGCAGACUUGAGUAUUUCAGGGGAGACUGGAAUUCCUGGUGUAGCGGUGAAAUGCGCAGAUAUCAGGAGGAACACCGGUGGCGAAGGCGGGUCUCUGGGAAAUAACUGACGCUGAGGAGCGAAAGCGUGGGUAGCGAACAGGAUUAGAUACCCUGGUAGUCCACGCCGUAAACGGUGGGCGCUAGGUGUGGGUUUCCUUCCACGGGAUCCGUGCCGUAGCUAACGCAUUAAGCGCCCCGCCUGGGGAGUACGGCCGCAAGGCUAAAACUCAAAGGAAUUGACGGGGGCCCGCACAAGCGGCGGAGCAUGUGGAUUAAUUCGAUGCAACGCGAAGAACCUUACCUGGGUUUGACAUACACCGGAAAGCCGUAGAGAUACGGCCCCCCUUGUGGUCGGUGUACAGGUGGUGCAUGGCUAUCGUCAGCUCGUGUCGUGAGAUGUUGGGUUAAGUCCCGCAACGAGCGCAACCCUUGUCCUGUGUUGCCAGCGGAUCAUGCCGGGGACUCGCAGGAGACUGCCGGGGUCAACUCGGAGGAAGGUGGGGACGACGUCAAGUCAUCAUGCCCCUUAUGUCCAGGGCUUCACACAUGCUACAAUGGCCGGUACAGAGGGCUGCGAUACCGUGAGGUGGAGCGAAUCCCUUAAAGCCGGUCUCAGUUCGGAUCGGGGUCUGCAACUCGACCCCGUGAAGUCGGAGUCGCU
rnacentral:rRNA from 1 species